rnacentral:rRNA from 1 species
AAUAUUGCACAAUGGGCGCAAGCCUGAUGCAGCCAUGCCGCGUGUAUGAAGAAGGCCUUCGGGUUGUAAAGUACUUUCAGCAGUGAGGAAGGUGGGUAUGUUAAUAGCAUACUCAUUUGACGUUAGCUGCAGAAGAAGCACCGGCUAACUCCGUGCCAGCAGCCGCGGUAAUACGGAGGGUGCGAGCGUUAAUCGGAAUUACUGGGCGUAAAGCGCAUGCAGGUGGUUUGUUAAGUCAGAUGUGAAAGCCCGGGGCUCAACCUCGGAAUUGCAUUUGAAACUGGCAAACUAGAGUACUGUAGGAGGGGGUAGAAUUUCAGGUGUAGCGGUGAAAUGCGUAGAGAUCUGAAGGAAUACCGGUGGCGAAGGCCGGCCCCCUGGACAGAUACUGACACUCAGAUGACGAAAGCGUGGGGAGCAAACAGGAUUAGAUACCCUGGUAG